GUAAAAACUGUUAUGGAAGAAGAUCACUGAAGUCCUAUCAAAGAAGAACAAAGAGAAAUAAUAAGGGAACUAAGGGAUCGUCCACCUGCUCACUAUCUGUUUCAGUUUGAAAACUUCUCUAAACUUUCUGAUGCAAGGGUCGAGAAUUUUCAAUCAAGUGAGUUUGAAGUUGGCGGAUACAAAUGAUUCAUGACAUGAAGUGAAGACUCAAGCAAUCAUAAUUGCUGCACCAUUUGCAUAAUCAGAAGUUACCAAGACUUAAUCAAAACUCAAGGCUCUUGUGAUUUUGCUGGCACUGCUACCAGUUCUGCAUCUGAUCCUAGUGUUAGUGGCUGUUAUUACCCAGCUACUGUCAGGUCAAGAUGAGUUCAGAUCGACUAUGGAUGUACCAACGACUUGAGGACGAUUUCUUAAGACCUGGAUUCAUGGACUGACAAUUGGGCCUGACUGGCGUUUUAAUGCAUCUACUAUUACUGGAUUUCGUGCUGAUCGUACUAUAAAUGAUGCGGAGGAUGAUCGAGAUGAGAGCCUUAAUUAGUAGCCACCAUAAUAAACUAGUAUUAUCUUUAUUUAAACAUUUAAAACAUAUAACUAAAUGUGGAAAGACUUUUUUUUUCCUUUAUUUUUCUAGUUUUAAUACAAUAUCGAACAAGUUUGCUGAAUUAA